GACGAACGCUGGCGGCGUGCUUAACACAUGCAAGUCGAACGGAAAGGCCCUGCUUUUGUGGGGUGCUCGAGUGGCGAACGGGUGAGUAACACGUGAGUAACCUGCCCUUGACUUUGGGAUAACUUCAGGAAACUGGGGCUAAUACCGGAUAGGAGCUCCUGCUGCAUGGUGGGGGUUGGAAAGUUUCGGCGGUUGGGGAUGGACUCGCGGCUUAUCAGCUUGUUGGUGGGGUAGUGGCUUACCAAGGCUUUGACGGGUAGCCGGCCUGAGAGGGUGACCGGCCACAUGGGGACUGAGAGAGGGCCCAGACUCCUACGGGAGGCAGCAGUGGGGAAUAUUGCACAAUGGGCGGAAGCCUGAUGCAGCAACGCCGCGUGCGGGAUGACGGCCUUCGGGUUGUAAACCGCUUUCGCCUGUGACGAAGCGUGAGUGACGGUAAUGGGUAAAGAAGCACCGGCUAACUACGUG
rnacentral:rRNA from 1 species